rnacentral:lncRNA from 1 species
UCGCUGUCGAGGCACCCAUCACCUUCUUCACUGGAAAAACUCAAAAACCCCACCAAGAAAAUCAGCCGCUGAACACAGAAACGACCCCAGCGUUGCUUCUUCUUCAGGCACCCGAAACAGCCAUGUGAGAAGCUUAACGCUACCAACCAACGACCAAACAACUUAAACCAGCUGCUGUUCAUCGGAAACCAGACGCACGACGUCACUGGCGACCACUAUUGAAGCCGGCGAACAAACACACACACACACACACACACACACACACUGCUACCGUUCCACCCUCCCACAUUUGCCGCUACCAUAACUGGCCGGAAAUGUAGCAAAAACAGUGACAGAAACGUGAGAAGCUUCCAGUCAUCGUCCCGUUCGAGGUCGUUGAGUCAGUGUUCUGUCCGAGCUACUGUCAUAUUCGAGUUCAUCCGGCGAAACUCGGUCAGUCCGUUGCUUGCCGAGGGUCUGUUCGUGCUCAGCCAUCGUGCUGUAUUCUUUUGUAACCCGUGGAAAGAUCUUUAAUAUAUUGAGACGCUUCAAAGGAACGAGGUUGUCACUAUCCGUCGAGGUCGUUCGAGAUUCCGGUGCACUCCCUGUUUGGCCGAUAAUUAAGGUCUGCUUCUAUUUCUCUGCUACUAUUUAGCUUCACAACAUAUUAUUGUGUCAUGUCUUUCACGUUUUUGCUUGGUCAAUUGUCCGAGUAAACAGUUUUCAUUGCUUUGUUCGUUGUGGAAUGCUUUAAUAGUACUCGUUUGUCGCAUUUAUUCAGUUGAUUGUUGUUUGCACUUUGGUUUGGUUUAAUACAUGUUAUUUGAAUUUGAUGGCCAAGAGCAAGGUGAUUCUUUUGUUGUAGGAAUUGAGUCUGCCUAAGUGUGUGCAUGUCGUUGAUUUCCUGGGUUGGAGUAUUGAAUAUGGUUGGGUUUUUGAAUUCUUAAGCAAAAAUGCUAGGUGACCAUGAUUCGAGUUGAACAUAAGUCAAGAUCUGUUUAUUUUGAACUCGCUAGGCCUGUUAAUAUCAUGUAGUUCCUCUCUUUUAUUAGUCCAUAAAUAAUUUUGUAGUAUUCAUUAACAACAUCGUAGUUUACUUUAGGUGCGUUAAAUGUUUAAUUAUCACAGCAAUUAUAUAAAUCCGGUGGUGCAUUUCAUGUGACCCGAUGCAACAAGGUUAAAUAGAACAUGUCGUGAACCGCGGGUGCAUUUCAUGUGGUGUGACUUACUAUAUGUUUUAAAUAACCUUGGAAUAAUCGCUUAAAUCAACAAAUGCGAUUUUUAAAGGUUAAAAAGGCACAUAGGUUUAAAAGUGUUUAAAAUCAGAUAAUUAAGCCGAUUAUUACAGUUGAGCGACCGUGCUAGAACCACGGAACUCGGGAAUGUCUAACACCUUCUCCCGGGUUAACAUAAUUCCUUACCCGGAUAUCUAGUUCGCGGACUGUAUUACAGAGUCAAUCUUUUCCUCGACUCGGGAUUCGAACCGGUGACUUGGUACACCAUAAAUCUCCCAAGUGGCGACUCUGAAUCUUCUAACAAUAAAUCCCGUUUCGAUUGUCCUUUAGUUGGAAAAACUCUUAUAUAUACCCUUUCCGGAGGUGUAGGUCAAAAAGGAGGUGUGACAGAUAUAAUUUAUCUUUUGCGACUUGGGUAUUUAUCUUUAUACUCCUAUUAUUGCAAAAUAUGAUAUUAUUUAUUCCAUGCAUCUCGUGUAUAAUUCAGUCUUCCACUCCAGAUCGAAACAUAUCGCUUCGGACUAUCAUUUUAUUUGUGAGAAAAUUAGUCAGGGUGAUCUUACUAUUUCUCAUGUUCCUACUCAUAACAGCUUGCGAAUGUCUUCACCAAAGAUGUCUAUGCUGCAAUAUUCAAAGAGUUUCUUGCCAAACUUCAUGUUCGUUCCUCUUUAGAUUGAGGAGCGUGACAAGGAUAUUAUUGCUAGCUUCACUGGCAUUUUCAUGCUUGUAUCUUCUGUAAAUGAAAGACGUCCUGGCCUUUACAACUUAAGCAGGCCUUAAUCAUUUUUGGCUUCAGUUCUCUAUUUCUAAAACUUCUACUAGGAGUUCAAUGUUCCUAGUUACCAUUUCUUGAUGCCAUUAGAUGUUUCUGCCUCAACUCUUGCUCGAACCACAAGAUGUUAUAAACUAGAAUCGAUGUAAAUUUGGGAAGAAACAAGUUAGGGUUCGUACACUCAGAGAGAGAGCAAGCGAAUCUUUUUUAUAUUUUAUUCUGUGUAGAAAAUGUAAUUCGACUAUACAAAUAAUUGCAG